AACGAACGCUGGCGGCAUGCCUAACACAUGCAAGUCGAACGAACCCUUCGGGGUUAGUGGCGCACGGGUGCGUAACGCGUGGGAAUCUGCCCUUUGCUUCGGAAUAACAGUUAGAAAUGACUGCUAAUACCGGAUGAUGUCUUCGGACCAAAGAUUUAUCGGCAAAGGAUGAGCCCGCGUAGGAUUAGGUAGUUGGUGGGGUAAAGGCCUACCAAGCCGACGAUCCUUAGCUGGUCUGAGAGGAUGAUCAGCCACACUGGGACUGAGACACGGCCCAGACUCCUACGGGAGGCAGCAGUGGGGAAUAUUGGACAAUGGGCGCAAGCCUGAUCCAGCAAUGCCGCGUGAGUGAUGAAGGCCUUCGGGUCGUAAAGCUCUUUUACCAGGGAUGAUAAUGACAGUACCUGGAGAAUAAGCUCCGGCUAACUCCGUGCCAGCCGCCGCCGUAAAAC
rnacentral:rRNA from 1 species